rnacentral:rRNA from 1 species
UACGUAGGGGGCAAGCGUUAUCCGGAUUUACUGGGUGUAAAGGGAGCGCAGGCGGCAGGGCAAGUCAGAUGUGAAAUACCGGGGCUCAACCCCGGGACUGCAUUUGAAACUGUCCGGCUGGAGUGCAGGAGAGGCAGGCGGAAUUCCUAGUGUAGCGGUGAAAUGCGUAGAUAUUAGGAGGAACACCAGUGGCGAAGGCGGCCUGCUGGACUGUAACUGACGCUGAGGCUCGAAAGCGUGGGGAG